rnacentral:rRNA from 1 species
UACGUAGGGUGCGAGCGUUGUCCGGAUUUAUUGGGCGUAAAGAGCUCGUAGGCGGUCUGUUGCGUCGGCCGUGAAAACCUGCAGCUCAACUGUGGGCUUGCGGUCGAUACGGGCAUCACUGGAGUUCGGCAGGGGAGACUGGAAUUCCUGGUGUAGCGGUGAAAUGCGCAGAUAUCAGGAGGAACACCGGUGGCGAAGGCGGGUCUCUGGGCCGAUACUGACGCUGAGGAGCGAAAGCGUGGGGAGCAAACAGG